AACGAACGCUGGCGGCGUGCCUAACACAUGCAAGUCGAACGGAAUGAGGGGGCUUGCCCCUUCAUUUAGUGGCGCACGGGUGAGUAACGCGUAGAUAAUCUGCCUGAUGAUCUGGGAUAACAUCUCGAAAGGGGUGCUAAUACCGGAUAAGCCCACGGGGACUUUGGUCUUUGCGGGAAAAGGGGGGGACCUUUUGGCCUUCUGUCAUCAGAUGAGUUUGCGUACCAUUAGCUAGUUGGUAGGGUAAAGGCCUACCAAGGCUACGAUGGUUAGCUGGUUUGAGAGAAUGAUCAGCCACACUGGAACUGAGACACGGUCCAGACUCAUACGGGAGGCAGCAGUGGGGAAUUUUGCGCAAUGGGCGAAAGCCUGACGCAGCAACGCCGCGUGAGUGAUGAAGGCUUUCGGGUCGUAAAGCUCUGUCAGGGGGAAAGAAGUGUAUUGUGGCUAAUAUCCACGAUACUUGACGGUACCCCCAAAGGAAGCACCGGCUAACUCCGUGCCAGCAGCCGCAGUAA
rnacentral:rRNA from 1 species